rnacentral:rRNA from 1 species
AUUGAACGCUGGCGGCAUACUUUACACAUGCAAGUCGAACUGCAGCGCGGGGCAACCUGGCGGCGAGUGGCGAACGGGUGAGUAAUAUAUCGGAACGUACCCAGAAGUGGGGGAUAACGUAGCGAAAGUUACGCUAAUACCGCAUACGAUCUACGAAUGAAAGUAGGGGACCGCAAGGCCUUAUGCUUUUGGAGCGGCCGAUAUCUGAUUAGCUAGUUGGUGAGGUAAAGGCUCACCAAGGCGACGAUCAGUAGCUGGUCUGAGAGGACGACCAGCCACACUGGAACUGAGACACGGUCCAGACUCCUACGGGAGGCAGCAGUGGGGAAUUUUGGACAAUGGGCGCAAGCCUGAUCCAGCAAUGCCGCGUGAGUGAAGAAGGCCUUCGGGUUGUAAAGCUCUUUUGUCAGGGAAGAAACGGUAGAGGCUAAUAUCCUUUGCUAAUGACGGUACCUGAAGAAUAAGCACCGGCUAACUACGUG